CUAUCUACCAUGAUAAUUACAGACAGAAUUUCUCUAUGUUAGAGCUGUUUUUCCCCCCGCAGUGUUUGCCAAUGACAUUAUAAACAACAAAACAAUGAAAAGGCAGGAGAUGUAUGUUGAAAUAAGUGGGGCCUAAGAGCUUAUUAUAAGAAAAGUGGAAGUAAUAAAUAUUAAGCCAAAGCCAAUUUCUCCAUUUCUGGAAUCCAUUCUAGGGUAGCAGGAGAACUACCAUACUAAUCAAAGUAAGAGGACUGAAGGAGAACCAUAGGUCAGAACGUUACAGAAACCCACAGCAUGUCUUUGAUUAUUGCCAGAGCAAUGUAAUACAGAAUAAAUAAUAUGGCAUAGCAAAUGUAAUUCUAUAGCGAGAGACUGAUGAUACUGGAAAACUCAAAAGAAAUGAGUAUUAGACGAAUAGCAAUAUCUCUGAAAACAUAGAUAUCACUUAUAUUUGGGUGGUUUUUUAAUGAUAGCCAGGCAUAUAUAAUUUUUAAAAAAUAUUUUUAUUACUCCCCUUGUCUAUUUUCCUUUUUCUUUAGUUCAAUUUCCUUUUCCUUACCUAUCUAGUUUUUUCUGUUUCUUCAUUUUGUCAUUUCUUAAGUUGUUGUUGGUUAAACUUUGCUUCUAGUCUCAAAAAUAUAACUAGGUUUUGCAAUAAUAUAUCUUGAAUCACAGGCAUAUGAAACAAAUAUUUUAACUCCUGUGUGGCUCUCAACUUAUUUUCCUCAAGAGAGGGUAUGGAGAGGAUAGUAGCUUCUACAUCUGAAAGAUCUUGCUACACAACAGAUUAAUUGAGCGUCCUCUUCUUUUAAUAUCUUUGAUGUUGAAUUCACCCAGGUCCAGGGACUUUGUGUUUUAGUAUUAAAAUAUGGGUCAAGCAUAACAGUUGUGAUACCACUACUAAUAACAAAUAUUUUAAUAGCUUUAUUGAGGUAAAAUUGACAUACAAUGAAACAGACAUAAAAAAUUGGAUUUGAAAAUCACUUUUUUAUUUCAACCGUAUGAUUGUGCUUUGAACAUUUUGAUAAAAAUAUUUCUCUCAAGGUAGAAGACAAAAAGGUUUGUAACAGAUGUUUUUGAUGAUAUCCUUGGUGGAUAUGGCAAACACUGUUAGUCGCCAAUGCAGCCAUGUGAAGAUCCCUAAUUUUUUUCAGAUUAUCAAACAGCGGUGUACACAGGGAAGUGGGAUCCAUCCUGAGCCCCAAAAUAUAGAUUAUGAUUUGCCCAACCCCAUUUGUUUUCGCUUUUGUGUAGGUAGGUGACCCAGUCCUGGUCAAUGAGAUAUGAGUCAAAGUCUGUGGGGCACUUCUGAGGAAAAUAUUUCCUCCUUGUCAGCUGUCUUGGGACUACGAGGAACCAAACCAACCCACUGAGGAUGCAGUGGAAAGCUGAAGGAUCCAGGUCUUUAAAGACUUCUCGAGCUGCACAUUAACCAAGCCUACAGCAGGCCUGCUUCUGAACUUCUUGUUAAGUGGUGUUAUAAACAGCCUCAUCAGAGCCACUGUGUUGCAUAACUCUGGGGAGAACUCUCCACGUCGUACAACAUGGUGGUCCUCGAUUUCAUUGGUUAAGCCACUACGGUUGCAGCCAAAAGCAUCCUAGUCCAUAAAGUGGAGCAGAUAGAGUUCCAGUAUUAAGAAACUGCCUCUGUGUACCAGUUUAUACCUUGCAAAAGACUAUUAUUAGAAAGUUUUAAAUUGCAAGUAACAGAAGCCACAGUUCAGAUCUAAACAAUAAAAGCAAUUCAUUGGCUCAUGUAAAUGAGAAGUCCAGAGGGAGGCAGGCUUCAGGGGGUUUGAGCUAGAAUUUCUUGAUGUCAUCAGUACUCUGGCUUUUUUCCCGCCUCAUGUUCUCAACUCUGUCUGCCCCGUGUACUGGCUUCUUCUUCAGGUUGGCUUUCUUCAUGGUAGCAAAACAUUUGCUCUUGUUUCAAGCCUCCCAUUUCCACAUCCCACCCCUCAGACUCUGACUGAGUCAUUGACUUAGCCUGUGUCACCUGCUCUAUCUUAGGGGCUGAGGAUAGAAACAGUAUUCCGAGAACCUCAUGGGUCCCUAAAAGGAAAGUGGAAGUUAGAAAGGAGAAAUGAAAUACUGGGACCCAAUCAUGAAGUGUCCACUGCAUGGAUGAGGGUUAUAAUACAAAGGCACUUUUUAAAAAUAUGUUUGGAGUUUAUUUAUAUUCUGCUUAUUCUCAAAAGAAUGUGAGAUAGAGAAAGCCAAUAAUCCUAGGCCCAUGGAUUACAAAUAAAGCACGAGAUUUGGUGAGCUCUUGGGGAACUAAGAAUAGACUUAUUUGUCUGUGAACUUCUGUUAAGUCCUAGUUUGAACAUUUGUGAGAUAGAACUUCUGUUUAUUUCUAGAACUAGAAGUCAAGGCAAUCAAUAGUGACGAAGCAGCUGCUUCAGGAGAAAUGUCAAACUCUAUGCUCUUUAAAAAUGUUAACGUAAAGUUUUAAAAUCUGUGAACUCUUUUCAACACCUUCACUUUUCUGAAAUCCAAAAUUACGAGUAUGAAAAAAGAACACAGUGCAACUCAGUGAAAUCCAUAGACGCUUACUGGCACAGCUUCCAUUUGCACCAGAAAAUGAAGCAGAACUGGCCGGAUGCACAACUAGGUCUUUGCAGAGGCAUCUGAAAUCCACAGCCUGUGUCUGCACAGCUUCCCGGCACACGGUCCUCGGUGGUAAGCCGUGGUCAUCAAGAGCCUGGCCUAGGUCCUCACCAUCCUGCAAAGCUUAAAUUCAUUUCACACCUGCUUUUGAAACUGGAAAUACUGCCAACUUAUUUUCUCAGAUUGAUUUGGCAAAAAUUCCAGCAUACAGUACAAAAUUAUGGAUCAGAUGAAAUGCAGUUCUCAAAUUCAUUGGACAUCUGGAAUCAGUAAAAAAAUGUGAUAUCUCCUUCAGAAAGGACCCUGAUGCCUUCAGAGGACCAGGGCAGCACAGACUAGGAAGGAGAAGCUGUGCUCCCAGGAUUGGCCGGCCUGGGGCCAUCUCCCCUCAGGAACAUUCCUAGACAGGUAACGCUCUCCAAGCCCAAAACUACAACAGCUUUGCUACUGUCUCUCAGAAAACCAUUCUACAAGCUAACUGCCUUUGGUAUGGAGACGUAUUCCCGGGCUGAACUGCAAGGGUGAUGUUGAAAACUCAGUGCGGUGCAAUGUGUGUAGAAACAAGCUGCUCAGGAGGGGCAGGAAAGAGGCGGCAGAGGAUUGUGCUUUACUAGUGGUGUGGGAUGGUUGUUCAAGCAACUAACCUUUUGGGGUUUUUUCUUCGAGUUUUAGAAAAGACAAUUUGGGCACUUUAAAUAACCACAGCAGUGCUAUGUUCACACUGUAAGUAGGAAGUACAAAUAAUGGAAACAUAGACAUUUCCCUCACCAUUAAUUCCAGUUUUGUCUUUCAUGUACUAGAAAGACUGUAUAAGGUAGUGGUUAAGAGCUUGCAUCCAGGCUUGACUGCCUGAAUCCCAGCUCUGCCACUGAUUAACUAGGUGAUCUUGGGUAGAUUACAAGCUUUCCAUGCCUGGGCUUCUUUAUCUGUAACCUGGGAAUGACUGUCUGUAUCACAGGGCUGUUAAAAGAUUUAGUGAAUUAACAUAGGUAGACCAUUUAAAGCAGUAAGCACCAUUUAAGCAUUAGUUAUAAUUAUUUGUGAGCUUUCACAUACAUUUACUGAAGGAAGUUUUAUUGGAAUCUCGAGAUGACUAAAUCAAUAUGUACUUCCAUACUAUGUUUUUGCAGACCAAAGUAUCUGCUUUAAAAGGUCAUUUAUCUAUCUCAUUAAAAGAUGAUAGCACUAUUAGUUAAAAGUAAUUUAGACUAUUAUAUUAGAAGUAGUCUUUGUUCUGUGCAAACAUCCCAAAAUGUACAUUAUUUUAAGGUUCUACAAUUUAUUUAACAAAUAUUUAUUGAGCACCUACCCUGUGUAAGGCAAUUGUUCUAGAAUGGGGUUGAUGGGUAUGUGUGUGUAUGUUUGUGCAAAAUCCUUCCUUACAUGGAGCUUUGUAUCCUUUCAAGAGGACAUGGACAGUAAAGAAACAAAUAGAUGAUAUGUCAGGUGGUGACAAGUUCUAUGAAGAAAUAUAAAGCAGAGUCAGGGUAGAGACUGAUGGAGAGUGGCGCCCAUAAGGAAGGUCUCUCUGAUAAGGUCACACUUGGGAAAUGACCUGAAGAAGUGAGUGAAUCAGCCAUGUAAAUAUUUGAGAAAAGGGGUUUCCAGGAAGAAGGUACAGCAAGUGCAAAGGCCCUGAGGUGGGAGAGUGCUUGUUAUAUGUAAGGAAUGGCAAUGUGGAAUUCAAACCUAGGAAGUCUGUCUCCAGAACCUGCAUUCCAUAGUCCCACAUUAUCUUCUGCACUUUCCUCCAUAAACUCUCUGCUUCAGACAGGAAGAUUAUGUGAAAAAAUGGUCAUCUGAGUUAAAUAUAAGUUAUAUAAUCUUACAUUUAUGUGUUCCAUUGACUUAUACAUGAAUUCCAAAGAAUCAGCAUGAACAACAAAUUUAACUUUUCCUUUUCAAAAGUAGCUCAGAGUAGGAAGCAAAAUACAUUAAAUUCAGAGCAGCAACGAGGACAUUCUGAAAUGUUCCUUAGCCUAGAAAGACCCUUGGUGUAGGGUUUUUGUGAAAAUUUUGCAUGUCUAAGUCUUUUUCUGGGGCAAGUGCUGGGUCCCUGAACCCAGUAAAACUUGAGAAUAAGCACGUCAGUGAACAGUGUUUCAGAACUCAGAAAUAUUUUUGUUUUUUUAAAAAAAAUCACAAAGGAACAAAAAUGUAACAGAAAAAUAGACGUUUUUGAUUAUCUUAAUUUGAAAAUUGAAAUAUAAAGGAAAACAAUUGCUUUUAUUUAUUCAUUUUUAAGGUUUUGUGGAUAGGGCACCAUUUAGAAAAUUACUAAUUAGCGGAAUCAAAGCCGAGGAGUUAAGUCUGGAAGAGUUUAUUUUGAGGGCAACUUGUAAACAGUAGCAGGUGACUUCACAGAAAAGCAGCCACCUGGCUAGAGCAAGAUUUGGAGGAACACGCACAAGUGAGUAUUAUAAGCUUUCUAUUUUGGAGGCAGAGCCAGAAAUUCUGGGUAAAGAGAAUCUAAAUCAGUGGUUCUAAACUAAGAAAGUGUGUUAUUCUGGGUCUGCUGAGAAUCAGCCUCCAAGAUGGGAUUAGAAGGCAAAGGAUUUUAUUAAGGGAAACAUCUGUGCGAGAGAAAACGGGGAGAAAGGCAGACGGGCUGGGAGCCCGUCCAACUGCUGCGGGUCUGACUGAGGGAAGGAGCCAGGAGGAAGGCUGGGCAGCCGUCCCAGGGCGCCCACAGCCUGAGGGAGCUUCAGCGCGGCCGCCAGAGUCCCGGAGCCGCGUCCCGCGCUGGAGCAGGCCUGUCUCCAGGCCCGGCCCGUCGUGGUGCCCGGCGUCCCUGCAGCCCUCGCUCGUUGGCUGGGACCAGCCUCCCCGCAAGCCCGGGGAUGGAGCUCAGCGCGGGGCCCUCCGUCAGUUGCGCCACGGGUGACGGCGGAGAGGCGCGGUCUCGUGGCCACAGAGGAGGACGCCUGUCACAGCAUGGCGCGAUGAGCAGUGCGUAGGUCCGAGCCUGGGAUCUGACCCAGAGAACCCCAGGCGCCAAAGCCGAGAGGGCGAACUUGACCCCUGCAGCAGCCACCGGGCCGUCCCCCACCCCCCUUCUUGAGCGAGGAUGUCCAUCUUCUGCCCUCAGCUCAGAGCUCCUGGUUCUCGGCCUUCAGACUCCGGGCAUGACACUGGCCGACUGGGCUGGUCCCAGGCCUCAGGCCUCAGGCUGAAGGACACCACCGGCUCUGCUGGCUCUCUGGCUCUCCAGCUUGCAGAUGGCAGGUGGUGGGACGACUCAGCCUCCGGAAGUGCGUGAGCCAGUUCCUGCAGUAGAUCUCCUCUACUCCCUUCACGUGUUGGUUCUUCCGGUUCCGCUUCUCUGGAGAGCCUGACUCACGCAGCAGCGGACCCUGUCUGUGGCCCUGGCCUUUCCUGCAGCUGCUGAGUUCCGGCUGCCAGCACCUGAGACUCCGCCUGAGGGCUUCACAGUCCACUGAGCUCACAGUCCCCGGACUAGGACUUUGUCACAGGGUCGAAAUGUCUCCAAUAACGCCCCCUGGGAGCAGUUCUCACCCAAUGACUGACAGAGUGGGUGGCUAAAGACCACUGCUCCCUCUCUCCUGAUGGAGUAACUCUGAGGCAUGUGUCCAACACUGACUACCUUACCGGUGUUUCCCAGAUCCUUAACCAAAGAAGAUAUUUAAACUCAGAUCCUUGUCUCUAUUUUCUGCUUUUGAGGAAACUAAACCAAAUAUUUAACCACAAACUUUAUGCACUGUGGAUGACUAUGAUGUUUGGAUCUCUUUCUUAGCUCCAGCAACGUCCCAGAUGGACAUCCCCUUCAUUGACACUCAGCACACUUUUCAAAAUAUCUAUGUGUGAUUCUACCAAUUUUAUUUAGAAUAUAAAUCAUUACUUUUCUCCUUCUUCCUUUUGUUUAAAAUGUUGUAUUAAGUUUUCAGGAUAGAAAUAUAAAUCGUUCUAUAUAAAUAUUGCUGAAAACAUUAUUUCAAGAGAUAUGACAUUGUAUGGAAUUGAGCAUUAAAAAUCAAGAAGUAUCAAAAAGUGGAAACAAACAAAAUUAUCAGCUGAUCAAAGGAUAAACAAAGUGUGUUAUAUAUGAACAGUGGAAUCUUACACAGCCAUGAAAAGGAAUGAAAUACUGAUACAUGUUACAACACAGAUAGUCCUUGAAAAUAUGCUAAGUGAAAGAAGCCACACACAAAAGGCUACACAUUGUAUGACUCCAUUUAUAUGGAAUGUCCAGAAUAGGCAAACAAAGAGACAGAAAUAGAUUAGAUUAGUGGUUCACAGGCCUGGAGGAAGGGCAAAUGAGGCUGACUGCUAACGUAUAUGGGGUUUCUCUUGGGAUGACAAAAAUGUUCUGGAAAUAGACAGUGGUAAUGAUUGCACAACCUUGUAAAUAUAUUAAAAACCACUGAAAUCAAGAGGCAUCCUCCCAGGGAAGAUGUUUUGUGGGACAUACCUGUCCUGCCUUGCAAGGAUCUCUACUUAUUUUCUAGUGGAGUAAGUGCUAGACUUAGUUAUGAACCUUCCCACUUUUCCUCUAAGAUGCCUUUCUGCUCAAU
rnacentral:lncRNA from 1 species